GUGAGUUUCCUGAUGAUAAUAUAAUAAUAGCAAUGAUGAUGAUGAUGAUGAUGAUGGCAAUAACAAUGAUGACAGUCAACACUGCCGCGUGCCGGGCUCUGGCCCUUUGCAUGUCUGGGCCGGCUGUACAAGGCACUGCUGGGGCUCCCGGGCUGGGAGCCAGGGACAGGCACCGUCACAGCAGCCAAGGGGCCCCCCUACCACCCCAGCACCUGCUGGCCCUGAACCAGCUGCUCCUUGAGAGCUUUGACAGACUCUUCCGCUUGGCAGCAUUUUAAUCUGCUGGUGCAAGAGCCUUGUCGCUUCCUCAAAGCCUGUGCCCAUGGCCGUGGGCAGCUGCCUGUCCCUGUAUAGGCAGAGCUGCGUCAUGCCCUGUGGCCCCAGGUCUGGCUCUGGGGUUCUGGCUGGGCGGGGCCUGGAACCUUCUGGGAGUCACCAUUGACUGGCUGCAGCCACCGGCUUCCCAGCAAGGAUGUCCUCUUCUGUAGGAAAAUGGGGACGUCGGGAGCAUUCUCUGGACAGCAGGAGAUGCAUGUCGACAGGCUGGCCCUGCCUCUUCCCACCCCAGAGUGAUGCAGCGGUGUCCUGGACCCCUGGGGAGAGGUGACCCCCCCAGCAGGAAGCUGGGCCUGGUUUCUGUCCCUCUGCAGCCACAAGGCCUGGCUAGGAUGCUGGGAGCACCACACCCUGGAGACUCAGCUCACCAAGGACUCAGGGGCGGGGGCUCCCCUGGCACCUGGGAAGCUGGGCCCCCGGCCCCCUGGACUCCCACCCAGACACCAUCUCAACCCAGGCACUUCCCCCGGGCCAGAGGGCAGCCUGGCAGCCCUGGACUCCGGGAGGGCCGAGUCUGGGGAGCUGGACGACGUCACAUUCCACUCUUGAUGAUGCCGCCCCAGUCCUACAAUCUGGACAGCAGGAGAAGCUGCCCAUUUCCUCCAUCUCCGGUCCCUGGAGGUUCCCCGGAUCCUUUCAGGGAAGACCAUGGGCCCUAAACGAUCUUCAUAACAAAACUGAGAAGUGGCCUGGCUUCUUCACUGCGUGCCUGUGUGCUGGGAUCUAGCGUGGCCCGACUGGGCAGCUCCUUUCCUUCCCUGACGCUGCUCCAGGGGAAAGAAGGACCAGGGUCAAUCCGGGGUGCCCCAGGUGGAUCAGCGAAUGCCCCUGAAGCCAGGUGCCAGUUGCAUCCCCGUCAGAUGCCCCCACCCCAGUCUCCUGAGCCUCAUUAGUCACCCCUCAUUUUCCUCUGGGGACCCCAGGCCCCAGCUCCUGUCUGGUUAGAGGCUGAAGGGGUCUGAGCGACACCUACCCUAGGGGACCUCCGGAGGGGUCUUGGUGUCCUCUGACUUCUGUCCUCAGAAGGGAGCUCAGAAUGCAGCUGAGGCUUCCCCUGGGGCCCAGGGUGUCUGUGUCCGAGCCACAGCCAGAGUGUGCCCUGGAGAGUCGCUGGGAUGCACGGUGGGCUCUCGUCAUCCUGUCCCCACUCCAGGCUCAGGCUGGAGCCGUGAUGGCACCGCUGCACUCCAACCUGGGCAACAGAGUGAGACCCUGUCUCUAUAAAAUAAAAACAAAAAUAAAGAAGAGCAUGUGGUUUCUGCAGUUUCCUGGCCAAAAAUGCAUAACUCCAAUCUCAAUCAUAAGAACACAUCCAACGUCCCCAACAAGGGGAGGUUCUACACACACCUGCCCAGAGCCCCUCAAAAGUGUCAAGGUGUGAAAGACAUGGAGGCAUGUAGAAGACGGGAGAGCCAGUGUGGCCUGUGGUAUGUUCAUGACGGUCACAGGUCAGCGCCCACGGUCACUCAGCAGCCAUGCCAGGCAGGCCCCAGGGGCCCAAGAGGAAGGUGGGAUGUGGCGGGAUGGGGGCUCUGCACGGCCCUGCAGCACAAGUGCCCUGCCGACUCCAGGGGCAGCAAUCUGGUCCCCUCAUGGUGCCAUUCCCCAGGGACGGGUCCUCGCCUGCCUCGCCGGCCCUCCACAGACAGGACAGGGACAGGUCGUCAGCUGUCACGGAGGCCCUCGCAGUUUUCUGAAUGUGGACUUGCUGUUCCUGCCCAUGGCUUCGUCCACGGACUCGACAGCACCCCACUGUCCAUCACACCCCCACCGAUGCUGCUUCCCACAGCAGGACUCAUCCCAUGCUCAGGCAGUGCUCCCAGGAGCAGCGGGUUAAUAGAGCGUGGGACGGCCCCUGAAGACCAGUUAUGGCGCCGGCCAGGAGGCCCUCUGAAAGGACGGGCGCAACCCCGCAGAACAGACCAGGUGCUCGCCAUCCAUGUCCGGUGCCGCUUCUCUGUGGCGAUGGUAUCCAGGAAUCACGGGUGGGAGUCACGGCCACAGUCCCUGUCGCACCAGCCGCCUGCCCACACAGCCACCGUUCACUCUAGCUUGAAGGUCCCGCUUCCUCAGGGAGGAGCACUCCCUCCAGGGUCGAGGUGCUGGCCGUGUGGAGUUCGACGUCGGGACUGUCCCCAGGGGCCUCUCUUCCCACUGAAUCGACAGAGAGAAUGUGAGCUUGCUGUCCGGCGGGCGGGGCCGGGGAUCCUGUCCGUCGAGGGGACACCGGAUUGCUGCGGAGAGAGGACUAGACCCAGAGUCCAGCCAAGACCAGAACUGAGACCAGGCGACCAGCAGAGCCUGCACAAUAAUAAUGCUUCGUUUUGCAAAUGUAUUUUGUUCUUUUAUUGUAUAUAUUUAUCAUGUCCAAUGUGAUGUUUUGAAACGUGUUUACAUUGUGCUUAAAUCAAGCAGCAUAACACACAUGACUUCACAUACUUCCCAUUUUUUUGUGGUAAGAACACUCAAAUUCUACUCGCAAUGAUUUUCUUUCUUUUUUUCUCUCUCUUAAUGAUUUUCAAGGAUGCAAUAUGGUGUUAUUAACUGUAGUCACCAUGCUGUGCAGUACAUCUCUUGAAUUUAUUCCUUUUG
rnacentral:lncRNA from 1 species